UACGGAGGGUGCAAGCGUUAUCCGGAUUCACUGGGUUUAAAGGGUGCGUAGGUGGGUUGGUAAGUCAGUGGUGAAAUCGUCCGGCUUAACCUGGAAACUGCCAUUGGUACUAUCAAUCUUGAAUACCUUGGAGGUGAGCGGAAUAUGUCAUGUAGCGGUGAAAUGCUUAGAUAUCGGAAGGAACGCCGGUGGCGAAAGCGACGUGCUGGACCUCUUCUGACGCUGAGGCGCGAAAGCCAGGGGAGCAAACGGG
rnacentral:rRNA from 1 species